rnacentral:rRNA from 1 species
AUUGAACGCUGGCGGCAGGCCUAACACAUGCAAGUCGAACGGUAACAGGAAACAGCUUGCUGUUUCGCUGACGAGUGGCGGACGGGUGAGUAAUGUCUGGGAAACUGCCUGAUGGAGGGGGAUAACUACUGGAAACGGUAGCUAAUACCGCAUAACGUCGCAAGACCAAAGAGGGGGACCUUCGGGCCUCUUGCCAUCGGAUGUGCCCAGAUGGGAUUAGCUAGUAGGUGGGGUAACGGCUCACCUAGGCGACGAUCCCUAGCUGGUCUGAGAGGAUGACCAGCCACACUGGAACUGAGACACGGUCCAGACUCCUACGGGAGGCAGCAGUGGGGAAUAUUGCACAAUGGGCGCAAGCCUGAUGCAGCCAUGCCGCGUGUAUGAAGAAGGCCUUCGGGUUGUAAAGUACUUUCAGCGGGGAUGAAGGGAGUAAAGUUAAUACCUUGGCUCAUUGACGUUACCCGCAGAAGAAGCACCGGCUAACUCCGUG